rnacentral:rRNA from 1 species
UACAGGGGGGGCAAGCGUUGUUCGGAAUUACUGGGCGUAAAGGGCUCGUAGGUGGCCAACUAAGUCAGACGUGAAAUCCCUCAGCUUAACUGGGGAACUGCGUCUGAUACUGGAUGGCUUGAGUUUGGGAGAGGGAUGCGGAAUUCCAGGUGUAGCGGUGAAAUGCGUAGAUAUCUGGAGGAAUACCGGUGGCGAAGGCGGCAUCCUGGACCGGCAUUGACGCUGAGUGAGCGAAAGCCAGGGGAGCAAACGGG